rnacentral:rRNA from 1 species
GACGUAGGGGACGAGCGUUGUCCGGAUUCACUGGGCGUAAAGGGCGCGUAGGCGGCCCUUCUUGUCGCGUGUGAAAGCCCCGGGCUCAACCUGGGAAUGGCGCGCGAGACGGGGGGGCUGGAGUUCGGGAGAGGAGCGUGGAAUUCCCAGUGUAGAGGUGAAAUUCGUAGAUAUUGGGAAGAACACCGGUGGCGAAGGCGGCGCUCUGGACCGAGACUGACGCUGAGGCGCGAAAGCGUGGGGAGCAAACAGG